GCAUCGACGCCACUGAUCUCCUA
rnacentral:siRNA from 1 species